AUUGGACGCUGGCGGAAUGCUUUACACAUGCAAGUCGAACGGCAGCACGGACUUCGGUCUGGUGGCGAGUGGCGAACGGGUGAGUAAUGUAUCGGAACGUGCCCAGUCGUGGGGGAUAACGUAGUGAAAAUUACGCUAAUACCGCAUACGAUCUAUGAAUGAAAGCGGGGGAUCGCAAGACCUCGCGCGAUUGGAGCGGCCGAUAUCAGAUUAGGUAGUUGGUGGGGUAAAGGCCCACCAAGCCAACGAUCUGUAGCUGGUCUGAGAGGACGACCAGCCACACUGGAACUGAGACACGGUCCAGACUCCUACGGGAGGCAGCAGUGGGGAAUUUUGGACAAUGGGCGAAAGCCUGAUCCAGCCAUUCCGCGUGCAGGAUGAAGGCCCUCGGGUUGUAAACUGCUUUUGUACAGAACGAAAAGGUUUCUACUAAUACUAGGAGCUCAUGACGGCACUGUAAGAAUAAGCACCGGCUAACUACGUGCCAGCAGCCGCCGUAA
rnacentral:rRNA from 1 species